GUGGGGAAUUUUGGACAAUGGGCGAAAGCCUGAUCCAGCCAUGCCGCGUGCAGGAUGAAGGCCUUCGGGUUGUAAACUGCUUUUGUACGGAACGAAAAGACUCCUUCUAAGAAAGGGGGUCCAUGACGGUACCGUAAGAAUAAGCACCGGCUAACUACGUGCCAGCAGCCGCGGUCAUCCGUAGGGUGCAAGCGUUAAUCGGAAUUACUGGGCGCAAAGCGUGCGCAGGCGGUUAUAUAAGACAGAUGUGAAAUCCCCGGGCGCAACCUGGGAACUGACGUUGUGACUGUAUAGCUAGAGUACGGUAGAGGGGGAUGGAAUUCCGCGUGUAGCGGUGAAAUGCGUAGAUAUGCGGAGGAACACCGAUGGCGAAGGCAAUCCGCUGGACCUGUACUGACGCUCAUGCACGAAAGCGUGGGGAGCAAACAGGAUUAGAAUCCCGGGUAGUCC
rnacentral:rRNA from 1 species